CCUACGGGAGGCAGCAGUCGAGAAUCAUUCGCAAUGGGGGCAACCCUGAUGGUGCAACGCCGCGUGAGGGAAUGAAGGUCUUCGGUUUUUAAACCCCUGUCAUAUGGACGCAAAUUAAAACGAUAGUACCACAAUAAGAAGAGACGACUAACUCUGUGCCAGCAGCCGCGGUAAUACAGAGGUAUCAAGCGUUGGCCGGAAUCAGUGGUCGUAAAGGGUGCGGAGGCUGGUGCGCAAGUCGGAUGUGAAAGGUGCGGGCUCAACCCGCGUCCGGCACAUGAUACUGCGAGACUAGAGUGAUGGAGGGGCAAUCGGAAUUCCCGGUGUAGCAGUGAAAUGCGUAGAUAUAGAGAGGAACACUCGUGGCGAAGGCGGGUUGCUGGACAGUAACUGACGCUGAGGCACGAAGGCGAGGGGAGCGAAAGGGAUUAGAUACCCUAGUAGUC
rnacentral:rRNA from 1 species